GGGUCAGUAGGUUGGUCGUGCCCCCGGUACGUACUGGUCUCACUGAUUCCUCCUUCCUGAAGAACCGUAAUGCCCUUAAUUUGGUGUUGCGGGGAAACAGGACUGUUACUUUGAAAAAAUUAGAGUGUUUAAAGCAAGCUAACGCUUGAAUACAUUAGCAUGGAAUAAUGAAAUAGGACGAUCGAUCCUAUUUUGUUGGUUUCUAGGAUUGACGUA
rnacentral:rRNA from 1 species